CGGUUUUGUGUUGGAGAAAGAAAGAGAAAAGGAUAGGAGAGAUCGUUUCGGAAAGCCGGCUGAAAUUUAUAUCUCGCAUCCGAGAGCUGCCAGGUGUAUUUACUUGUUUCUCGCCACUUAGAGUAGAGUACAAAUAUUUUUGGAGGGAAAUUUUUCGCGAAUUGUCGCGUUUCGAUUAGCAACGAACGUUUAUGUAACUAGGAGAAGGAAACAACGACUAGGGUUACGGGGACGGAACGAUUUCUUUCGCGGUGUACACGCACGUCCGUUGAGGAGACGAAAGUUCAAAAAGAAAAGGAAAAAAAGAAAAAAAAGAAGGGAAAACAACGGGGAAAAAUCGUCCGCGAAAAGUCCGUUUUCGUCCGAGUGAAAUCAGCGUAGCCUGAUCUGUGGCUAACUGUUUUACUUCUUUUUCUAUUUGUGGCUAUAAUAUACGUAUACGUAUUUCUUUUUGCUUCUUUUUUUACAUUUCACACACGUCUGGAGCCAAAGAAAAGUCAACAGACACACUUGCAGAUACUUUAGAUCGAGCUUCGCGUGUUUUUUGCGCGGAACUGUGUGUGAACAGAAACCCCACCCCUCCCCGUGAAAUCCUUGAAAGAACUCGCGACGACGAUGCGUGAUAUCACGAUCAGGUGUACACAAGUCUGAUGAAAAGAUCAGAAAAAAUAAA